UACCCGCUGAACUUAAGCAUAUCAAUAAGGGGGGUGACCUGAACUGAUGUUGAUUUACCAAGAAAAUGCGAGUGAAGCGGGAAGAGCUCAAAUUUAAAAUCUGGCGGCUUUCUGGUCGUCCGAGUUGUAACCUGGAGAGGCAUUGCCCGCGUUGGACCUUGUACUACUCUGCAGGAAGGCAUCGUAUAGGAGGGUGAGAAUCCCGGCCAUGACACGUACCGCCCGUGCUCUGUGAUAUGCCUUCAAACAGUCGCGUUGUUUGGGAAUGCAUCGCAGGAGGGGUGGUAAAUUCCAUCUCAAGCUAAAUAUUGGCGAGAGACCGAUGGCGAACAAGUACCGUGAGGGAAAGAUGAAAAGCACUUUGAAAAGAGAGUUAAAUAGUACGUGAAAUUGUUGAAAGGGAAACGCUUGAAGUCAGUCGCGUUCCGUGGAACUCAGCCUUACUUCGGUUCGGUGUACUUUCCAUGUGAACGGGUCAACGUCAAUUUUGGCCGGUGGACAAAGACAAGGGGAAUGUAGCGUUGCUUCGGUGUACGUGUUAUAGCCCUUUGUUGUAUACGCCGGCCGGGAUUGAGGACUGCAGCACGCCCUUGUGGCCAAGGGGUUCGCCUCUACCUACCGUGCUUAGGAUGUUGGCAUAAUGGCUUUAAGCGACCCGUCUUGAAACACGGACCA
rnacentral:rRNA from 1 species